GUUGUGGUACAGUAUUUUGAAAGAGAAAUAUAUGGGGGAUCAUUGUAUUCUUUUUUCCCCGAUGAAACAGACUGCUUCUCCUAUCUGGAAAUGCAUUGUCAAAGCAACUAUAGACCCUGAGGAGUGGGUUCAACCUUCAACUAUGUCAUGUUGAUUACUCUCUCUGUUGUUGGUGAAGGACCUUUGGCAUGAUGUCUCUUAGGAAUUUAACAUGCUCUACACCUUACUUCUUGAUGAUGUGAAGAAUUUUAUGCUUAACAUUCUGGUGCCUACGUCCUCUUAUAACUCUGGCGGUUGGUGUUGGGCUAGUAAUGCUUCUGGGAGUUACAAUGCGAGUUCUGGUUAGUGGUGGCUCAAGAGUAACGAAUAAAAAAUAUUGAAAAGAAAAGAGUGAUUCAAGAAAUCAUCUUGGUGGUUUGGUUGCUACAAUUGCGUGGUCAUCUAAAGGAAAAUGAGUUAAUUUAGGAUUAUUUUGUCUAAUUAAAUUUAAUUCCACUUUCAGGACAUAUUUGGCACAAAAGACAUUUUGGGCAUUACAAGUGGAGGAUGUAUGUUA